rnacentral:misc_RNA from 1 species
AGGGGUAGCCCUUGCAUAGGG